AUGAUGCUUUACCCUUUGAUCGUUGUGCACAAGUUGAGCAAUGGUGGUCUUACCAACUCCCCCCAUACCGACUAUGGGGAGCACCAUCACAUUGUUAUUGUUACUAUUCUUGUGGGAGCGGUCGAGCAAUAUCUUCACCACUUGUUCCUUCUCAUCUUGUCUGCCGACAAUCUCUCUUUCAUCAACAUGAGAGUGUGUUUGUGGAUGAUCAACAUUCGGUGCCUCGACGUGUUGCAGGAAGUGGAAACUGUUCAUCUCCACAACCAGUUCAUCGAUCAUUUCAAGGGCAUCCUUCAUCUUCCUGCUCAUGGAGAGACGGAAGAGAAUGGUGCUCUUGACGGUGAAGUAGCUCAGCACCUGGAAUGA
rnacentral:rRNA from 1 species